rnacentral:rRNA from 1 species
GACGAACGCUGGCGGCGUGCCUAAUACAUGCAAGUAGAACGCUGAAGGAGGAGCUUGCUUCUCUGGAUGAGUUGCGAACGGGUGAGUAACGCGUAGGUAACCUGCCUGGUAGCGGGGGAUAACUAUUGGAAACGAUAGCUAAUACCGCAUAAGAGUGGACGUUGCAUGACAUUUGCUUAAAAGGUGCACUUGCAUCACUACCAGAUGGACCUGCGUUGUAUUAGCUAGUUGGUGGGGUAACGGCUCACCAAGGCGACGAUACAUAGCCGACCUGAGAGGGUGAUCGGCCACACUGGGACUGAGACACGGCCCAGACUCCUACGGGAGGCAGCAGUAGGGAAUCUUCGGCAAUGGACGGAAGUCUGACCGAGCAACGCCGCGUGAGUGAAGAAGGUUUUCGGAUCGUAAAGCUCUGUUGUAAGAGAAGAACGAGUGUGAGAGUGGAAAGUUCACACUGUGACGGUAUCUUACCAGAAAGGGACGGCUAACUACGUGCCAGCAGCCGCGGUAAUACGUAGGUCCCGAGCGUUGUCCGGAUUUAUUGGGCGUAAAGCGAGCGCAGGCGGUUAGAUAAGUCUGAAGUUAAAGGCUGUGGCUUAACCAUAGUAGGCUUUGGAAACUGUUUAACUUGAGUGCAAGAGGGGAGAGUGGAAUUCCAUGUGUAGCGGUGAAAUGCGUAGAUAUAUGGAGGAACGCCGGUGGCGAAAGCGGCUCUCUGGCUUGUAACUGACGCUGAGGCUCGAAAGCGUGGGGAGCAAACAGG